AAUCCUGUGGCGCAAUGGAUAGUGCGUUGGACUGUUAAUCCAAAGGUCGUGGGUUCAAAUCUCACCUGGAUGG